rnacentral:misc_RNA from 1 species
GAUGAAGAACGUAGUGAAAUGCGAUAAGUAAUGCGAAUUGCAGAAUUCAGUGAGUCAUCGAAUCUUUGAACGCACAUUGCGCCCUGUGGUAUUCCGCAGGGCAUGCCUGUUCGAGCGUCAUUUCAACCCUCAAGCUCUGCUUGGUGUUGGGCCCUGCCCGCUCGCGGCCGGCCCUAAAGACAGUGGCGGCGCCGUCUGGCUCUGAGCGUAGUACACCUCUCGCUCCAGCGCCUGGCGGUGGCCUGCCAGAACCCCAACUCUGUGGUUGACCCCGGAUCAGGUAGGGAUACCCGCUGAACUUAAGCAUAUCAAUAAGCGGAGGA